GAUGAACGCUGGCGGCGUGCCUAAUACAUGCAAGUCGAGCGAACGGACGAGAAGCUUGCUUCUCUGAUGUUAGCGGCGGACGGGUGAGUAACACGUGGAUAACCUACCUAUAAGACUGGGAUAACUUCGGGAAACCGGCGCUAAUACCGGAUAAUAUUUUGAACCGCAUGGUUCAAAAGUGAAAGACGGUCUUGCUGUCACUUAUAGAUGGAUCCGCGCUGCAUUAGCUAGUUGGUAAGUUAACGGCUUACCAAGGCAACGAUGCAUAGCCGAACUGAGAGGGUGAUCGGCCACACUGGAACUGAGACACGGUCCAGGCUCCUACGGGAGGCAGCAGUAGGGAAUCGUCCGCAAUGGGCGAAAGCCUGACGGAGCAACGCCGCGUGAGUGAUGAAGGUCUUCGGAUCGUAAAACUCUGUUAUUAGGGAAGAACAUAUGUGUAAGUAACUGUGCACAUCUUGACGGUACCUAAUCAGAAAGCCACGGCUAACUACGUG
rnacentral:rRNA from 1 species